ensembl:lncRNA
GUCAGGAUUGGUGAUUGCCCAUGGGCUUUGGUCAGAUGGCGGACACCUGAUGUGUUACUCCACGCGUUUCUUUAUUCAAGAUGGGGACCACACACCUCCUGGCUGGCUGGCCGAUAUUUCAAUCAUGUGUCGGCAUCUGGCUAGACGCCCCAGCCAGGAAGGGAACUUGUUCCAUUAGCCAUGCAGGACGGCAGGGGACCUUGUGGUGAACAGAUCUGGCAGUCGGACCCCCUCCUCCUUCUGGAUCUCCAACGCGCUCCAACAGCCGGCUCGGCCCGGCCAAUCACAGAGAGGCCAGAGAACCCCGGUGUCUGGACAGAUCAAAGCCCGGCGUGGCGGGAAAAGGUCAGACUUUCAGUCGGCGGCGG